AUGAUCUCAGCUGAGAAACACACACGAAGAACACUUCACAGAGACAACAUGUUCAGAAUUUCUGUGUUGAUCUGCAUCUCUCUACUGGUUUAUGGCAACUCAGCCAAGCCAUACAAGUCCUGGGAUAAAGUGGCUGAGUAUGCAGUCCAGGAGACUCUGAUGUCUGAAAAGGAGAGGGUGAUGUUUGAUCUGGGGCUGAAGCAGGUGGAGGCUCCUGAAGACAUGGACAUCACUAACAAUGACAUCCACCCUGUCAUGGCCAUCUGGAAGAACAUGAGAGGGGGAGGUGGGAAGAGACAGAAGGUAGAAAAAGAGGUAGUCCAAGGCAGAUACUCCACAACCGAGGAGGACAUGGACCAUCUAUACCACCCAUCCAUGGAGCCCCUUGAGGAGGAUAACACCAAGUACUACCAGGAGGCUGGGAUAGAUCUAGAUAACAUCUCUCAUCUCUUCUCAGGCCAGGUGGAUCCACGGCACCCUGAAGAGGACUGGGACGAACUCUACCAUCCAGAGAUGAAAAGGGGAGACGGGCAGUACCAAGUGGACGUGCCUCACCAGGGGGAGCUAGCUGCUGUAGGGGCAGAGGUGAAGGGUCAUAGUGAGCCAGAGGAAGACAGGGAUGACCUCUACCAUGGUGACCUGCCUGUACCUGUACCUGGCCAGGACAGGCAGCAGUCUGCCGAUCGGCCCUCUCAGAGGAUGUACAGAGAACCAGAAGAGGACCUGGAUGACCUCUAUCAUCAUUAA
rnacentral:lncRNA from 8 species